rnacentral:rRNA from 1 species
ACGCUCGACACCACGGGAGCAGCAGUGGGGAAUAUUGCACAAUGGGGGAAACCCUGAUGCAGCGACGCCGCGUGAGCGAAGAAGUAUUUCGGUAUGUAAAGCUCUAUCAGCAGGGAAGAAAGUGACGGUACCUGACUAAGAAGCACCGGCUAAAUACGUGCCAGCAGCCGCGGUAAUCUGAGCGGGCUGGCAAGGC